rnacentral:piRNA from 1 species
GACAUUGGAAAGUCUCCUUUUGAGGUCAAG